rnacentral:misc_RNA from 1 species
AAGUCGUAACAAGGUUUCCGUAGGUGAACCUGCGGAAGGAUCAUUACCGAGUAAGGGCUUCACCAAAGCCUGAUCUCCCAACCCUUGUAUUCUGUACCACUUUGCUUUGGCGGGCCCGUCACUAGUGACCGCUGAAGGAUUUUAGUUAAGUUACUAACUAUAAACCUUGGGCCUGUGUCCGCCAAGGAACCUAAAUACGUGUUAUAAAACCAGUUUGUCUGAGAAUCAAAGAAAAUAACCAAAACUUUCAACAACGGAUCUCUUGGUUCUG